CUGCAGCGGAAUGAGGCAAGCAGCCUCCUUGCCUGCUGAAGGCCCAUGUGCAAUGAUUUCAAACAGGAGCCUCUUCAAUCAUAUUCACAGCUUAUUGCUUAACCUGGUUUCCCUCAGGAACGCAGGCAACAGCU